UGUCGGGAGCGAAAUUAAUUAAUUCGCCUUGCGUGAAUUUCACGUCAUUCUUUCCAAUUUAUCGUUGUAAAACCGGGAGAGAUGACGUCAAAUUGACGUGGAACGUAUACAAUGCCAAACAGAAACGAACAAUAAAAUCAGAUUAAAUUUAAAUUAGCGAUGUUACUGUCAAAAAUUGUCAUUUUUAUCCUCUUUUAAUUUAUUUUAUUCGAAUAUUUCAAUGUAAGUAGAUUAAAUAACGAAGAUUUCCAUAAGCUGGUUUAAGUCACGUGAUUCGAUUGGGAUAUUUAAAGCCAAUUACAUGACUUUUUACUCGUCAUUUGCGGGCGAAAGUCUAAAGGAUAAAUUAAACAAUUUACAAAAUGGCUCUCUUCAAUUUCUUAUGCUUAAAUUUAAUAAUUUUCAUCAUAUUUUCUGAUACUUCUCAUGGCUUUAAGAAUCCCCCAUUCGAUGUGCAAAAAUUUAAAGAUGUUUGGGAGCUUUCAACAUCACUUGAUAAUCAUCACGUGAUUCGUAAAGGAGGAAGGACUCCGUCGCUUCGUCUCCGUUUCGGACGUAGAGCUGUCACUCCUUUCAUUUCACCAUUAAAAAUUCACUAAUUAUUAAAUACAUUCCAUUGCUAAUUAAUUAAAAAAAUAUCAAAAAUAAUUUCUUUAAUUAAUCUUAUUAACAAAGAAAAUACAUUUAAAAAAAUAUAUGAAAAAA